rnacentral:rRNA from 1 species
AGCGGCGGACGGGUGAGUAACGCGUGGGUAACCUGCCUCAUACAGGGGGAUAACAGUUAGAAAUGACUGCUAAUACCGCAUAAGACCACAGCACCGCAUGGUGCGGGGGUAAAAACUCCGGUGGUAUGAGAUGGACCCGCGUCUGAUUAGCUGGCUGGUAAGGUAACGGCUUACCAAGGCGACGAUCAGUAGCCGACCUGAGAGGGUGACCGGCCACAUUGGGACUGAGACACGGCCCAA